GCCUAAGUGGCUCAUUGGGUUAAGCGUCUGACUUCGGCUCAGGUUAUGAUCUCACAGUUCGUGGGUUCAAGCCCCACGUCAGGCU
rfam:Felis catus isolate Cinnamon breed Abyssinian chromosome D1, whole genome shotgun sequence.